CAUGUUGCGCUCUGCUGUAACAUUAGGCUGGUUUGACUCAGAAUUGUAUCGACAGUUAGGAAAUACUGGAAAUUCUAACUACUGUCAAUAAGACAGAUAAGAGAAGAAUUUCGUUAUUUUCUUCAUAAAGUUAUGAGGUGAGGACUAGAGCACACACUACAGUUAUGCUGUUUAAAGCCUGAUAAAAGACGCAAGAGGAAACUUUUCUCGACAUUUAAGCUGAGUGAUACUAGCUGUUGUUGUACUGGGGGUUAUAAUUGCUGCCAUUGGGAUUGGGGCCUACUUCCUGAGAGACUGCCCUGUCCAGCCCUACAUCCCAGUCUACCUUAUAGUAUUUGGU